rnacentral:snRNA from 1 species
AGCUUUGCGCAGUGGCAGUAUCGUAGCCAAUGAGGUUUAUCUGAGGCGCGAUUAUUGCUAAUUGAAAUAUCAAUUUUAAAGUAC